rnacentral:rRNA from 1 species
GACGAACGCUGGCGGCGUGCUUAACACAUGCAAGUCGAACGGUGAAGCGCCUUCCUUUUUGGUGGGUGUGGAUGAGUGGCGAACGGGUGAGUAACACGUGAGUAACCUGCCCCCUUCUUCUGGAUAACCGCAUGAAAGUGUGGCUAAUACGGGAUAUUCUGGGUCUGUCGCAUGAUGGGUCUGGGAAAGAUAUUGUUUCGGUGGGGGAUGGGCUCGCGGCCUAUCAGCUUGUUGGUGGGGUGAUGGCCUACCAAGGCGGUGACGGGUAGCCGGCCUGAGAGGGUGGACGGUCACACUGGGACUGAGACACGGCCCAGACUCCUACGGGAGGCAGAAGUGGGGAAUAUUGCACAAUGGGCGCAAGCCUGAUGCAGCGACGACGCGUGAGGGAUGGAGGCCUUCGGGUUGUGAACCUCUUUCGCCAGUGAAGCAGGCCUGCCUCGUUUGUGGGUGGGUUGACGGUAGCUGGAGAAGAAGCGCCGGCUAACUACGUG